rnacentral:rRNA from 1 species
CCUACGGGAGGCAGCAGUGAGGAAUAUUGGUCAAUGGACGAGAGUCUGAACCAGCCAAGUCGCGUGAAGGAUGACUGCCCUAUGGGUUGUAAACUUCUUUUAUAUGGGAAUAAAGUGUUCCACGUGUGGGAUUUUGUAUGUACCAUAUGAAUAAGGAUCGGCUAACUCCGUGCCAGCAGCCGCGGUAAUACGGAGGAUCCGAGCGUUAUCCGGAUUUAUUGGGUUUAAAGGGAGCGUAGGUGGCUUUUUAAGUCAGUUGUGAAAGUUUGCGGCUCAACCGUAAAAUUGCAGUUGAAACUGGCAGUAUUGAGUAUAUGAGAGGCGGGCGGAAUUCGUGGUGUAGCGGUGAAAUGCUUAGAUAUCACGAAGAACUCCGAUUGCGAAGGCAGCUAACCGGACUGCAACUGACACUGAGGCUCGAAAGUGUGGGUAUCAAACAGGAUUAGAUACCCUGGUAGUC